rnacentral:lncRNA from 1 species
UUAUAAAAAAAAUUAAAUUCUACUGGGAGUUUGUUACAUUCUACAUAGAGAAAAGCAAAUGAAUCCUUAACGUCUUCUACAAGGAGCUUGUUCUCGAAUGCAGGAAUUCUUGAAACACGGAACAGUUGGUACAUAUGGUCUUGUUGAUCUUCGAGAGUUAUCUAUGUCCUAUGAAAUUUUUAUUUAUUACUAUAUUAAAAUUUUAAAAUCAUGCAUUUGAAAAGUACGUAAAUCAAGAAAAUAACACCAUACGAAUGCUUGCGAAGGCUCUCCAACAACAUUGAUUCAUGUAAUAACAUAAAUAAUUAUUAAUAUAUUGUUUAAUUAUAAAGUAAACAUAAAUAUUAUAAAGUAAUAGUUUCGUACAUUAACCGUAGAAAAAUUUAAUCUUUCAGUGAAAAAAGAGUUGUGCAAUAAAAAUUAACGCGUUGUUGGAUGAACAUUAGAAAAGUAUUUGCUAAAUUAGCUAAAGCCACUUACCCCAACAGGUGGAGUUACAAAAUCAGAACUUUGUUUAUGGAAAGAAUUUGCUUCACUAGUUAAGGCUCCAGUAUAGUCAAAUGUGGAGUAAUACGACUCAACACUAGUUGUACCCAGCGACAGAUUGAAAUUACCUUCAUAUUGUACUUCACGAUCAUCCAAAUUUUCUUCAUCAACCAAAUUAUGUUCAAUAUGAAUUUCGUUCUGUUGUUGCCCACCUCUCUCACCGCCUCGAUGAGCCCUCUCUCUUGGUGCAGCAGGUCGUCAACAAAUUUAAACGGGUGGCGGUUGCUCAUACUCAUUCGGCAGCGUAUAUCUUGGAUCAAAAGUCAAACACGUUUUCAGAAAGGCAACAGUCAUUGACUCUAGGGAAAUCGAUGCAAAUUGCGCUACAAUUUGCCUCACCUCUUCUGAUUGGUUAUUAUUGUUUUAUCCUUUUAAGAUUUUAUUUUAACGAGAAAAUGAUUUGGCCUCUUUAAAACUAUUUCAAAAAAAAUCAAGAAGAUUUUGAAAUAAUUUUAAGAAAGUAACAGAGUCGCCACUUGAUUUUUAUAGAAAAAAUCAAGAUAAAGCUUAAAAGAGUUUCAAAGAUUCAAAAAUAGAAAUAAAUCUUUAAAAUUAGAGAAACUGGGUAAGGAUUCGAUUAAUGCCGUAAGAAGGUUUUUAAGGCACUUAGGAAUGUCUGUUUAAAACGGUUUACGAAAAAGAACUAACUUGACUAACUAAAGUGUCUAAUUUUCGCAAAGACUUGAUUUUAUAAAAAAAAAUAUAAAAAUUAUUUAUUUAAACGUCAAAAAAGAUAUUAAUGCAAAGGAGAAAUAUUCUAUUUGAAUUAAACUAAGUUGCCAUUUUUUCUUUAGAUUUAAGAGGAAAAUGAGUUUUGCUUUUUGUUAAAAAAAAAAAGAAGAAGAAUAUGAAAUUAUUUACUUAUUACUAAUUAUUAUUAUAAGGUCGAUUUUGUUAUAGAUGAUACCUUUUAAAAAAAUGUUAAGAGAGCAUUAAAUUAAAAGUAUCUUAUUAAUUAUGAAAAUUUAAAAUUUAUACGAAAAUUUAGUUUCUUGAGUUUGAAGAAAGUUAUUUUAAUCCAAAUAGACUGUUAGUUGUAUGAACAUAACAAAUGUCAUUUUGAAAUAAAAUACUUAAUCUUUAAAAAACUUGUUUUAAGAGGAAAAUCGAAGGAACCAAUUUAAUCUAUUUUAGUCAAUAUAAAUUAGGUGAAAAGACUUAUGAAUUAAAUAAAAGAAAACUACAAUAAAAUACAAUGACAACACCUUAGGGGAUUUACCUAGAUUAAUUAAUUAAAAUAUUCGCUAAUAGCAAAUAAACAAUACAAGCUACAAAAAAAAAUACAAGAAUUGAAAUUGGGCCCUUAAUUAGCCCAUCAACGAAGCUUCCCAGCUUUUGGGCUUUGAAUCAUGGACUUCAGCCCAUUUUUAUCCAUGUAUACCGGUUGUAUAUCACGGGUGAAUCUCAAAAAUAAACUCAAAUUAGGGUGGCCUUUAAAUUUUAGCCCUAAAUAAAAAAAAAUUCUUAAAAUAGCCUUUACCUAUUAAUUAAUAUUUUUUUGAAUAAAAUUGUCCCUAAUCAAUGGAGUAAAUUACAUAAAUGAUCCUCAUAAUGGAUAACAACUCCAUAUUUAUAUCUUUCAACUUUUAUUUUUUCUCUUUUUAAUUUUUAUUUUUUCUUUUUUCUUUUUAUUUUUAAUUUUUCAACCCUUACUUUCUUCUUUUCAACUUCUUUUUUUUUUCUUUUUCAUUUUAUAUUAUUUUUCUUUUUUAUUUUUUCUUUCCUCUUUUUCUUUUGUUUUUUUUAGUUUUUCUCAACCCUUACUUUUUUCUUUACACCUUUCAAUGUCUACUUUUAUAUAAAAAAAAAACUUUAUUUUAUUUUUCUUUGAUUUUUCUUUUUUAUUUUUAAGUUUUUCUCGACCUUUAUUUUUAUUUAAUCUUUCGUUUUUUUUAUCAACCUUUAUUUUUUUGUUAUUCUCUCUCAACUUCUACAUUUUCUUUUAUUUUUAUUUUUUUUGAUAUUUUUCUUCAUUUUCUUCUUUUUUCGUAAUUUUAAUUAUUUUUGUUCAUUUCUUCGAUUUCUUCCACUCAAGUUACAUCUCUAAGAGUUAACACUAUCAUAUUAUAAAGGUAAGAUUUACAACUUUCGAACAAUAAGUUAUGUUUCAUGGGCAAGAGUUGACACUACUACAUUGUAGAGGGAAGACUUAUGACUUUCAAACAAGUUAUGUUUCAUGAGAAAGAGUUGACACUACCAUAUUGUAUUUUGAUUUAUGAGAUGUUAUACAACUAUUGCCUUAGAGGUAAGACUUAGCUCAAGGACUUUCAAGCAACAAAUUAUGCCCCACGGGCAAGAGUUAACUCUACCACGUUAUGUUUUCAUUUAUGAAAUAUGUUCUACAACUAUUGCAUUAGAAGCAAGACUUACUCAAAGACUUUCAAACAAUAAAUUAGGCCCCACGGGCAAGAGUUGACUCUACCACAUUAUGUUUUCAUUUAUGAAAUGUUCUACAACUAUUGCAUUAGAGGCAAGACUAGGCUCAAGGACUUUCAAACAACAAAUUAUGCCCGUUGUAGAAGCAAGACUUACUCAAAGACUUUCAAACAAUAAAUUAGGCCUCACGGGCAAGAGUUGACUCUACCACAUUAUGUUUUCAUUUAUGAGAUGUUCUACAACUAUUGCCUUAGAGGCAAAACUUGGCUCAAGGACUUUCAAACAACAAAUUAUGUUCCACGGGCAAAAGUUGACUUUACCACGUUAUGUUUUCAUUUAUGAGAUGUUCUACAACUAUUGCCUUAGAGGCAAGACUUGGCUCAAGGACUUUCAAACAACAAAUUAUGCCCCGCGGGCAAAAGUUGACUUUACCACGUUAUGUUUUCAUUUAUGAGAUGUUCUACAACUAUUGCCUCAGAGGCAAGACUUAGCUCAAUGACUUUCAAACUACAAAUUAUGCAUCACGGGCCAGAGUUGACACUACCACGUUAUGUCUUUAUUUAUGAGAUGUUCUACAACUCUUGCCUUAGAGGCAAGACUUAGCUCAAGGACUUUUAAGCAACAAAUUAUGCCCCACGGACAAGAGUUGACUUUACCACGUUAUGUUUUCAUUUAUGAGACGUUCUACAACUAUUGCCUUAGAGGCAAGACUUAACUUAAGUACUUUCAAACUACAAAUUAUGCCCCACGAGCAAGAAUUGACUCUACCAUAAUAUAUUUUCAUUUAUGAAAUGUUCUAUAACUAUUGCUUUAGAGGCAAGACUUGACUCAAGGACUUUCAAACUACAAAUUAAGCCCCACGAGCAAGAGUUAACUCUACCACGUUAUAUUUUCAUUUAUGAGAUGUUCUACAACUAUUGUCUUAGAGGCAAAACUUGGAUCAAGGACUUUCAAACUACAAAUUAUGCCCCACGAGCAAGAGUUGACUGUACCACGUUAUGAUUUCAUUUAUGAGAUGUUCUACAACUAUUGCCUUAGAGGCAAGACUUGGUUCAAGGACUUUCAAACUACAAAUUAUGCCCCACGAGCAAGAGUUGACUGUACCACGUUAUGAUUUCAUUUAUGAGAUGUUCUACAACUCUUGCCUUAAAGGCAAGACUUAGUUCAAGGACUUUCAAAUAAUAAAUUAUGCUCCACGAGCAAGAAUUGACACUACCACGUUAUGUCUUCAUUUAUAGGAUGAUGUACAACUCUUGCCUUAAAGGCAAGACUUUGCUCAAGGACUUUUAAAAAAUAAAUUAUGCUCCACAAACAAGAGUUGACACUACCAUAUUAUGUCUUUAUUUAUGAGAUAUUGUACAACUCUCGCCUUAAAGACACGACUUACCUCGAGAAUUUUCAAAGAACUUCGUAACAACGAUUCAUGCCCUUAAAUUUGCUUUGAUGUCAAAAAAUGAAAAUCUCUUUGCGGAUUAUUCAAUUUUUUAUUUAUUAGCAAAAUAUAAUAGAAGUUGAGAAAACAAAAAAAAACGAUCAAACAAAAUAAAGAAAUAAAAAAAAAUUGAGAAAAAAAGGAAAGAAAAAACAUAAAUAUCAAGAAAAAAGCGAAGAAUAAAAAAAAUUGAGAAAAAUAAAAAUGAGAGCAAAAAUAAAAAUAAAGUUUAAAAAAAAUGAGGAAAAAAAAGAGAACUGAAAAAAGAAAAAAACGAUCAAACAAAAUAGAGAAAUAAAAAAAAGAGUGCAAAAAAGGAAAGAAAAAAAUAUAGAUUAAGAAAUAAGUGAAGAAUUAAAAAAAUUGAGAAAAUAAAAAAUGAGAGGAAAAAAUAAAAAUAAAGUUUGAAAAAAAUGAAGGAAAAAAGAGAAAUGAUAAAAACAAAAAAUAAAAGAAAAAUAAAGGUUAAAGUCAAUGGAAUAAAAAAAAAAAGAAAGAUAAUGCUUGAGAAAAAAGAAAAAAAAAUAAAGUUUGAGAUAAAUGAAUUAAAACAUGAAAAUAAAAUUAAAGGAAAAAAUAAAAAGUGAAAAUAAUAAAAUUAAAGAAAAAAUAAAAAAGUGAAAAAUAAUAAAAAAUAGAAUAAUAAAUUAAAUAAAAAAUAAAAAGUGAAAAUAAUAAAAAAUAAAAUUUGAGAGACAAAUAAGUAUGAAAAGUUUUAAAAAUAUAUUUGAAGUAUAGAGGGGUAAAAUGGUACUUGUACUAUACUUAAAAAGUAAAGAAGGUUAUUUUUUAAAGACAUUUCUUAUAAAGGUCAAAUAUCUAAAGCCACCCAUAUUUGGGUCUGUCGCAUGCAAUUUCCUGGUAUAUCACAGUUUUGCCUUGCUGCAUUUUUCUGUAUAUUCGCUAUAUAUCAAUGUAUAAAACUCCGUAUACUUGCUCCCAACUUUUCGCUAUAUAUCAAUGUAUAAAACUCCGUAUACUUGCUCCCAACUUUACCAUACGUCAUCCCUUGGCUUAUAUCAGCUGCCUUUGACUUGUAACUCUCGUAUAUAUGGCGUAUACCAGUGUAUAUCAGCGCCUUUGGACUUGGAUGGGGCUCGACUCGAAGGAAAUACAAAAGGGAGUCCAUUUAGACUCAAAUGAGUUCAUGCAUAAAAGAGACAAAGAUAAAGAUUAGCUAUUCAAGUUUCGACAAAGAAAAGAUAUGGUCAAACGUGAUAUGUAUAAACUCAUAGUUAGUAAACAAAUAUGGUGUUAAAACAAUCAUAAAGCUUGAAACAUUCAUUAUUUUAAUCUAGCAAAGGUGAAGAAAGAAAGAUUUCAUUAAGAUGAUACAGUGAGGCUACCAGACUAAUGUUUAGCAUUUGGACAAUGCAUAUUUGAUGACAAAACCUGUUACUUUUAUUUCAAAUAUCUCUUGACCAUAUAAUCAAACACAAGCAAAUAUCCCACAAGUUUGAAGGCAAAUAAUCCAAAGAAAGGAAAAGGCACGGACAAGUGAGUUUUAACUAGAUAUCAACCAUAUUGAAGCUCACGAACUAUUUGGUUACAAGCUUGAAUUAAAUCCAAGACUCUUUUUGAUUAAGAAAAACAAAGGAGUAACGGGAUAGGAUAGCAUUGUAUAAGUAUUUUAGGGGGAAAGGAAAUGAAAUAGAGCAAAAACGGGAACAAAUAAAAAUAAAUAAAACCAUAAGACAUUUUGAUGCCUACAAAGACAUUUUUUCUCAUGCUACACUUAUCCAUAGCCAAAAUAGCCUCGCUAAACGGUCAAAUAAGAUAGUGAAAGAGCAGAGCACAUAACAAUUUAACAAUCUAAAGUCUCAAAACAAAAGAAACCAAACACAGAGAGUGGUAUCUAAAAACAAGCUAAACUCAUACAAGGGAGUUUUUUUUUAAACAGAGAAACCAACAACUUUCUUUUUCAAAUCCAAUAAAUGGCCAGAAACGUAAUUUCUUAGUAAAUAAAAUAAAACAAGGUAGCCACCUUCUAGUGCCCCGACACAGAAGCAAACAACCUUACAAAUUCAUCGUCAUACAAUUCAUAGUCAACCAUAUCCAAUAUAUGGCAGCAACUAUGACUUUCUGAAAUUAAAUAAGAGUAAGCACCCUUAUUACACUCUCAAUCAUUCAACAACAACAGCAUACCCAGUGUAUUCCCACAUAGUGGGGUCUGGAGAGGGUAGAGUGUACGUAGAACAUACCACUACCUCAGGUGAAGUAGAGAGGUUGUUUCCGAUAGAACCCCGACUUUGGACCAAUAGCAGUAUAACAAACACAAAACAUAAAUGUAUAUAAACUAGUACAGUAUGCAAAAUAAACUAACACCGCUAGCCACAAGAUAAUAUACUAUAGCCAUGAACUAAUACUAAAAACUAUCUAUCUGAAACCAUAGACAUCACUCAACACCACGAACAAGUAACUUCAUACACAAAUAAAGAACACUCCCCUACUGUUACCAACGCACUCCCUAUCCCCUAACCCUCUACCCUAAUCCGCAUCCCCACAACUUCCUAUCACUCUGUAAGCUGUAACUGCUUCAUAUCAUGCCUAAUCACCUCCCUCUAAUUUUUCUUUGGCCUAACUCUACCCUGCCUAAAACCAUCCAUAGCCAGUGUCUCACACCUCCGCACUAGAGAAUCAGUGCCUCUCCUUAUCACGUACCCUAACCAACGUAACCUCACUUCUCGCAUCUUAUCCUCUAUCGAAGUACUCCCACCUUCUUCCGAAUAACCUCAUUUUUCACCCUAUCUUUCCUGAUAUGGCCACACAUCAAUUACAAUAUCCUCAUCUCCAUCACCUUCAACUUUUGGAUGUGUACACUCCCAAUCAUUCAAACAUAUUAAAAUGGGAAAUCAAGAAAAGAAAAGCUACACCUUGGAUAUGGACAAAUAUUACGGCUUGUAAUUACUAUUUUCACAAUGACAAGAUUAUAAAAACACCAUACCCAUACCCACUGUUAUUUCAAUACAUGGACAAGAGAAAAAAAAUUCAAAAAGAGGGGCGGUGUUUACGCAAGCGCAGAACUUAAUUUAAAGUAAACCAAAUAUGUAGACACACACAACUGAACUUGAACUACUCUUCCUUUUCGUCAACAUGAUAUAAAGAUCAAAGAUGGACACCAUAUAUAACUUCCAACAAGGCCGGAGCAUAUAAAAAAUCUCAUAUCAACGACAUUCGUGACAACAGUAAUAUUUACAUCUUUUUUUUUUUACACACAAACACAGAAAAAAUGAAAAAAUUCAAUAGAGAUGAAGUGUUCACCUUUUUUGGAGCAGCGAACUUAGGACAACGAGACUUGACUACGAACUUCCACCACAAAAGUUUAAAUUUAAACUUGUCGGAAUUCAAUCUUUCGGCGAAAUUGAUUUUUCCGAGUGUGUUCUUUGAGAAUAUUGUUGCCUGAGGUUACACGCAUGCACCUCCAAAACCCUGAAAUUUUUCCCCAAAGUCCUCCUCCUUCACCCCUAUCCCUCACUAUCUAUUUAUAGGAGAAUUUGGGGGGAAAAGAAUUAGGGUUUUGGAUUUAAAUCCGAAUUUUAAAUUGAUUUUCUUGGAGAAUUUCAAACCCACAGACAGAGAGGGCAUGUAUUUGUUGGCUUCUUGCCAAAAGGGAGGUGAACAUGAGUUGAGCAAGAAAAAGUCGAUGAAACUUUAGCCAAAAUUGGUUUUACGACGGGGUAAAAGAGUAAAAUUGAUGGCAAUGGCUAGGUUGACUAGGGUUUAUGGAUUUGACGAUGUUGUCAUUGAAGCUAUUAUUGUCGAAUUGGGGUCUGAUUUUUGUUGUUGUUGCUUGGACGGCGUUGUCGUUGUUGACGUUGUUGCUGGCUGUUUGUUAUUAACGGUGGUGUUAAGGGUUAUACACCAUUGUUGUUGGGUUGUUGUUGUUACUAUUAAGGGAGAAGAGGCUUGGCUCGGGUCGGGUCGGGUCGGGUCGGCGGCUGGUGUGGGCUGCUGGGGGUAAGCUGUUAUCGUUGGGCCGGUUGGGUGCAGAAUUGGGCUGGGAUGGUUGAUUUUGGACUGGGUUAAAAUUAAAAGAGAU